UUAGUGGCGAACGGGUGAGUAACACGUGAGUAACCUGCCCUUCACUCUGGGAUAAGCCUGGGAAACUGGGUCUAAUACUGGAUAUGACGGCGCACUGCAUGGUGUGUUGUGGAAAGAUUUUUUCGGUGAAGGAUGGGCUCGCGGCCUAUCAGCUUGUUGGUGGGGUAGUGGCCUACCAAGGCGGUGACGGGUAGCCGGCCUGAGAGGGCGACCGGCCACACUGGGACUGAGACACGGCCCAGACUCCUACGGGAGGCAGCAGUGGGGAAUAUUGCACAAUGGGCGCAAGCCUGAUGCAGCGACGCCGCGUGGGGGAUGACGGCCUUCGGGUUGUAAACUCCUUUCGCCAUUGACGAAGCCCUUCGGGGUGACGGUAGGUGGAGAAGAAGCACCGGCUGACUACGUGCCAGCAGCCGCGGUAAUACGUAGGGUGCGAGCGUUGUCCGGAAUUAUUGGGCGUAAAGAGCUUGUAGGCGGUUUGUCGCGUCUGCUGUGAAAGCCCGGGGCUUAACUCCGGGUCUGCAGUGGGUACGGGCAGACUAGAGUGUGGUAGGGGAGACUGGAAUUCCUGGUGUAGCGGUGAAAUGCGCAGAUAUCAGGAGGAACACCGAUGGCGAAGGCAGGUCUCUGGGCCAUUACUGACGCUGAGAAGCGAAAGCAUGGGGAGCGAACAGGAUUAGAUACCCUGGUAGUCCAUGCCGUAAACGUUGGGCGCUAGGUGUGGGAUCCAUUCCACGGGUUCCGUGCCGCAGCUAACGCAUUAAGCGCCCCGCCUGGGGAGUACGGCCGCAAGGCUAAAACU
rnacentral:rRNA from 1 species